UAUCACUCACAAUUAAUUAUAUAUCCCAUUUUGGAUAAUUAAAUCAUAUUUCUUCAACUAUAUACAAUCAUAAGGUAUAACCUUAGUAUUCUAUGUAUGAACAUAUCCUAAACUACGACUUGAAUAUUGUAGUAAUGAAAAGAAAUAUCAAAUUCAGUAUAAAAGAAAAACCAAAUGAAGUUUCUAUAAAAUCCAAUUGAGACAUCAGUUUUCACCGGGCAACUUCGUGAUCGAGUCUCCAUAUACAUAAAUAAAUCAACUAAAGUUAAAAAAAAAAAAAAAGGAAAAAAGAAAAAAGAAUAAAAAACAUAUUUGAGAAAUUAUGCAACAAAACUAAAAGGAACAUAGUGGAAAUACAUUUAAGAAAAGUAUACAAAAGCGUAUAACCGAAAAAAGAAUGCAAUAGAACAUAGCAAACUUUAAGUGGUCAUAACUGGUGCUAUUUAUUGAAACUGAAAAGGAGAAAGAUCCCAAGAGAUGACUAUGAGUCAAAACCUGCACAAUAUCAACAAAUGAGCAUAAAGUUGAAGUGGUAUGAGUAGACCAAAGAAUAAAAUAACAAUUAAAAUAAUUUUGAAAGUUUAUCCACAAUUCCUCUUUCAUGAAGACAAUUUAGAUCCAAAAGAAAUAUAUUUAGACAACAAAUGGAAAGAUCAGAGAAAAUAUUGACUAAAGAUUUUGGAUUUUUGAAAAAGAGAAUUAUGGGAAAUGAAGCAAACAUCGAAAUCAAACCCUGUGAUUCCAUUCGAUUGACGAUACCAAGCAUGUUAGGAAAUUGGACCGCUACUAAUUCCGCCAGGAUCAGUGGGACGCAAAAAAUAAUUUAAACUGAAAAGAAAUAAAUGUAGCAAAAAUAAUAAGUGCAAGUGACAUAAGAAUUUCGUGAUUCGGCAAUCGUGCCUACGUCCACAAACCCACACCAAUUCUUUUACUGUAUCAACAAGAGAAUAAAAGGAAUACAACAAAUACACUCUCUGUAUUUUAUUUGCCUACGCAAAGACAAUCUCUCAAUUUUCUCUCGUUAAUUUUCUACACAAACGAAAGCGUAACUGCUUCUCACUUUGUAUUUUGCUCACUAUCUCUCGUGUUUUCACUCUACACGAUUUUCUUGCACUUCUCUUUUGCUCUCCAUUUUUGCACCUGCUUUUGCCUCCAAUUUAUAGAGAAAUUCUCACCAUCCUCAUUAAAUGCAUGUCCAUCAAUUUCAACAAAGUUGCCUUGCAUUAAAUGCAUGGCAAAAUCUUCUUCCAAAACAAUUACGGCUGCAUGGUUGAAAGUUUCUCCAUUCACAUUGUUUUAGUCAACAAUUGCUACCAUAAUUUGGAAA
rnacentral:lncRNA from 1 species